rnacentral:rRNA from 1 species
GAUGAACGCUAGCGGGAGGCUUAAUACAUGCAAGUCGAGGGGUAACAGGGAGAAUUUAUUUUCUGCUGACGACCGGCGAACGGGUGAGUAACGCGUACAGAUCUGCCUUAUACUAGGGGAUAGCCUUUGGAAACGAAGAUUAAUACCCUAUGUGCUUGUGAGAGUAAAGUUUCGGCGGUAUAAGAUGACUGUGCGUCCCAUUAGCUAGUUGGUAAGGUAACGGCUUACCAAGGCGACGAUGGGUAGGGGGCGUGAGAGCGUGGACCCCCACACGGGUACUGAGACACGGACCCGACUCCUACGGGAGGCAGCAGUAAGGAAUAUUGGACAAUGGGCGAAAGCCUGAUCCAGCCAUCCCGCGUGGAGGAUGACGGCCCUAUGGGUUGUAAACUCCUUUUAGAUAGGAAGAAACCCUCAGAUUUAUUUGAGGCUGACGGUACUAUCAGAAUAAGCACCGGCUAACUCCG